CCCGCAACGAGCGCCCUCCUUAUCCUUUGUUGCCAGCGGUCCGGCCGGGAACUCAAAGGAAACUGCCCGUGAUAAACUGGAAGAAGGUGGGGAUGACUUCCAGUCAUCAUGGCCCUUACCAAUUGGGGUACACACGUGCUACAAUGGCGCAUACCAAGAAAAGCGACCUCCCGAGAACCAACUGACCUCAAAAAAUGCGUCCUAAUCCGGAAUGGAAUCUGCUACUCCACUCCCUGAAGUCGGAAUCCCUUGUAAUCCUAAAUUAUAAUGCUUCCGUUAAUUCCUU
rnacentral:rRNA from 1 species